rnacentral:rRNA from 1 species
CAAUAGCGUAUAUUAAAGUUGUUGCGGUUAAAAAACUCGUAGUUGGAUUUCUGCUGAGAACGACCGGUCCGCCCUUUGGGUGUGUAUCUGGCUCUUUCUUGGCAUCUUCUUGGUGAACGUUGCUGCACUUGACUGUGUGGAGCGCUACCCAGGACUUUUACUUUGAGGAAAUUAGAGUGUUUCAAGCAGGCAUACGCCUUGAAUACAUUAGCAUGGAAUAAUAAGAUAGGACCUCGGUUCUAUUUUGUUGGUUUCUAGAGCUGAGGUAAUGAUUAAUAGGGAUAGUUGGGGGCAUUCGUAUUUAACUGUCAGAGGUGAAAUUCUUGGAUUUGUCAAAGACGGACUACUGCGAAAGCAUUUGCCAAGGAUGUUUUCAUUGA